rnacentral:sRNA from 1 species
UCUUAAUGUUUAUUAGCAGUUAUUUUUUUGUUUUCAAAUUAAUGUCACUUUUUGUCAAAUUGGUAUUUAUUUAUUUAUUAAUUCUUUUUGUAUAAAAUUUGGAAAAGAGAUCAAAAGUGCUUUUAGACAUUUUUAUCAUAUGAUUACAGAAUGUCAAUGUUUAUUUUCUAAUGUGAUAUGUUUCUUAUUCUAUCUAUAUAAUCUAUGUAUUUACCUUUAUAAAAAAAAAAAAUUAUUCAUGUCCAAAAUGAUACAAAAAAUAAUAUAUACCUCUGAUUUCACUGUAGUUCAAGAGGGAGUUAUCAUUUUUGUAUCUAAGCUUCUUUAUAUCUAUUGCUGGGUAGAGGAACAUGUAAUUUACCUAAUUGUGGUGACAUUGUGAGAUUGAUGCCUUGUUGUGAAUGAAGUGUCUUGAUGAAUGAGCCAAGUUACAAUGAGUUUCUUCCUUGUUUUUAAAUUUAACUCCAAAUGAAAUACACUUUUAUUUGAAUUCCUUCAAGUUCUAUUUUGACUGCCUUUUUUAAAGCCUAUUAAAAGAAUCUGAUGUGAAGAACAUGAAAGGAUUUGCCCUUAUAAGAAGAGUUAGGGGAGACAACCUCUUUCUGUUUAUCUUCUUUGUAAACUGUAUUUGCUUAUGUGUUCAAAAACUGGAGGCUUGUGCAGUAAAUUAUUUUAAUAAACUAUGCAAAUUG